AAACUGAAGAGUUUGAUCAUGGCUCAGAUUGAACGCUGGCGGCAGGCUUAACACAUGCAAGUCGAGCGGGGAAAGGUAGCUUGCUACUUGACCUAGCGGCGGACGGGUGAGUAAUGCUUAGGAAUCUGCCUAUUAGUGGGGGACAACAUCUCGAAAGGGAUGCUAAU
rnacentral:rRNA from 1 species